rnacentral:tRNA from 1 species
AGGGGUAUAGCUCAAUUGGCAGAGCGUCGGUCUCCAAAACCGAAGGUUGUGGGUUCAAUUCCUACUGCCCCUGCCA